AGCAUAUCAAUAAGCGGAGGAAAAGAAACUAACAAGGAUUCCCCUAGUAACUGCGAGUGAAGCGGGAAAAGCUCAAAUUUAAAAUCUGGCGGUCUUUGGCUGUCCGAGUUGUAAUCUAGAGAAGUGUUAUCCGCGUUGGACCGUGUACAAGUCUCCUGGAAUGGAGCGUCAUAGAGGGUGAGAAUCCCGUCUUUGACACGGACUGCCAGGGCUUUGUGAUGCGCUCUCAAAGAGUCGAGUUGUUUGGGAAUGCAGCUCAAAAUGGGUGGUAAAUUCCAUCUAAAGCUAAAUAUUGGCGAGAGACCGAUAGCGAACAAGUACCGUGAGGGAAAGAUGAAAAGAACUUUGGAAAGAGAGUUAAACAGUACGUGAAAUUGCUGAAAGGGAAACGCUUGAAGUCAGUCGCGUUGACCAGGGAUCAACCUUGCUUUUGCUUGGUGCACUUUCUGGUUAACGGGUCAGCAUCAAUUUUGACCAUUGGAAAAAGGUCAGGGGAAUGUGGCAUCUUCAGAUGUGUUUAUAGCCCUUGGUUGCAUACAAUGGUUGGGAUUGAGGAACUCAGCACGCCGAAAGGCCGGGUUUUUAAACCACGUACGUGCUUAGGAUGCUGGCAUAAUGGCUUUAAUCGACCCGUCUUGAAACACGGACCAAGGAGUCUAACAUGCCUGCGAGUGUUUGGGUGGAAAACCCGAGCGCGCAAUGAAAGUGAAAGUUGAGAUCCCUGUCGUGGGGAGCAUCGACGCCCGGACCAGACCUUUUGUGACGGUUCCGCGGUAGAGCAUGUAUGUUGGGACCCGAAAGAUGGUGAACUAUGCCUGAAUAGGGUGAAGCCAGAGGAAACUCUGGUGGAGGCUCGUAGCGAUUCUGACGUGCAAAUCGAUCGUCAAAUUUGGGUAUAGGGGCGAAAGACUAAUCGAACCAUCUAGUAGCUGGUUCCUGC
rnacentral:rRNA from 1 species